rnacentral:rRNA from 1 species
CGGGGACAAUGUCAGGUGGGGAGUUUGACUGGGGCGGUCGCCUCCGAAAGGGUAUCGGAGGCGCUCAAAGGUUCCCUCAGAAUGGUUGGAAACCAUUCGAAGAGUGCAAAGGCAGAAGGGAGCUUGACUGCGAGACCGACGGGUCGAGCAGGUAGGAAACUAGGACUUAGUGAUCCGGUGGUAUGAAAGUGGGAUUGCCAUCGCUCAACGGAUAAAAGCUACCCUGGGGAUAACAGGCUUAUCACUCCCAAGAGUUCACAUCGACGGAGUGGUUUGGCACCUCGAUGUCGGCUCAUCGCAUCCUGGGGCUGAAGUAGGUCCCAAGGGUUGGGCUGUUCGCCCAUUAAAGCGGUACGCGAGCUGGGUUCAGAACGUCGUGAGACAGUUCGGUCCCUAUCCGGCGCAGGCGGAGGAUAUUUGAGAGGAGCUGUCCUUAGUACGAGAGGACCGGGAUGGACGGACCGCUGGUGUACCGGUUGAGCUGCUAAGCUCAUGGCCGGGUAGCCAAGUCUGGCAGGGAUAAACGCUGAAGGCAUCUAAGCGUGAAGCCCCCCUCAAGAUGAGAUAUCCCAUUCGAAAGAAGUAAGACCCCUUGAAGACGACGAGGUAGAUAGGGCAGAGGUGGAAGUGCAGUAAUGUACGGAGCUGACUGUUACUAAUCGGUCGAGGGCUUAUCCAG